AACGAACGCUGGCGGCAUGCCUAACACAUGCAAGUCGAACGAGACCUUCGGGUCUAGUGGCGCACGGGUGCGUAACGCGUGGGAACCUGCCCUUAGGUUCGGAAUAACUCCCCGAAAGGGGUGCUAAUACCGGAUAAUGUCUUCGGACCAAAGAUUUAUCGCCUUUGGAUGGGCCCGCGUUGGAUUAGCUUGUUGGUAGGGUAAAAGCCUACCAAGGCGACGAUCCAUAGCUGGUCUGAGAGGAUGAUCAGCCACACUGGGACUGAGACACGGCCCAGAAUCCUACGGGAGGCAGCAGUGGGGAAUAUUGGACAAUGGGCGAAAGCCUGAUCCAGCAAUGCCGCGUGAGUGAUGAAGGCCUUAGGGUUGUAAAGCUCUUUUACCCGGGAUGAUAAUGACAGUACCGGGAGAAUAAGCUCCGGCUAACUCCGUG
rnacentral:rRNA from 1 species